ACGUCUUUUUCCCGCUUUUUCCUGAUUCACUGGGUGUAAAGGGCGCGCAGGCGGGUUAACAAGUCAGAGGUGAAAUCCUACAGCUUAACUGUAGAACUGCCUUUGAAACUGUUAAUCUUGAGUGCGGAAGAGAGAGACGGAAUUCCAGGUGUAGCGGUGAAAUGCGUAGAUAUCUGGAAGAACACCAGUUGCGAAGGCGGUCUCUUGGUCCGUUACUGACGCUCAGGCGCGAAAGCGUGGGGAGCAAACAG
rnacentral:rRNA from 1 species